CACAAACACAAGACUACUCAUACUUCAGCACAUCAGUCAUUAAAAGCUCAACAGAAGUGGACACAAGAAGCUCCUUAUCAAACACAAUGAAAGUCCCAAGCUUGAGCACACACAAACAAGCACAAUAACAUCACUCUACAAAAAAGAAGGCAGCAUCAUUCAAUUAAAAGCUAAAUAGAAUCGAACGCAAGAAGUUCCAUAUCAAACACAAUAAAAGUCCCAAGCUUUAGCACUCACACACACGCAUACACAUAUACAAACCUGUAGGUGAAUAGAAUGGACACAAGAAGUUCCAUAUCAAACACAAUAAAAGGCCUAACCUUGAGCCCACACACACACUACACAUACAAACUUGUAGGUGAAUAGAGUGGGACACACGAAGCUCCAUAUCAAACACAAUAAAAGUCCCAAGCUUUAGCACUCACACACACACACAAACCUGUAGGUGAAUAGAGUGGGACACACGAAGCUCCAUAUCAAACACAAUAAAAGUCCCAAGCUUUAGCACUCACACAC
rnacentral:lncRNA from 1 species